UUUACUGAGAGUUUGAUCCUGGCUCAGGACGAACGCUGGCGGCGUGCCUAAUACAUGCAAGUCGUGCGGACCUUUUAAAAGCUUGCUUUUAAAAGGUUAGCGGCGGACGGGUGAGUAACACGUGGGCAACCUGCCUGUAAGAUCGGGAUAACGCCGGGAAACCGGGGCUAAUACCGGAUAGUUUUUUCCUCCGCAUGGAGGAAAAAGGAAAGACGGCUUCGGCUGUCACUUACAGAUGGGCCCGCGGCGCAUUAGCUAGUUGGUGGGGUAACGGCUCACCAAGGCAACGAUGCGUAGCCGACCUGAGAGGGUGAUCGGCCACAUUGGG
rnacentral:rRNA from 1 species